rnacentral:rRNA from 1 species
GAUGAACGCUGACAGAAUGCUUAACACAUGCAAGUCAACUGUGGCGGACGGGUGAGUAACGCGUAAAGAACUUGCCUCACAGAUAGGGACAACAUUUGGAAACGAAUGCUAAUACCUGAUACUGUGAGAGAGCUUUGCGUCCCAUUAGCUAGUUGGAGAGGUAACGGCUCACCAAGGCGAGGAUGGGUAGCCGGCCUGAGAGGGUGAUCUGCCACAAGGUGACUGAUACACGGCCCUUACGCCUACGGGAGGCAGCAGUGGGGAAGAUUGGACAAUGGACCAAAGUCUGAUCCAGCAAUUCUGGGGGCACGAUGAAGUUGUCGGAAUGUAAAGUGCUUUCAGUUGGGAAGCGUUACCAACAGAAGAAGUGACGGCUAAAUACGUGCCAGCAGCCGCGGGAAUUC